GCUCACCGCCCUGCCACCUGGAAUAAGCCCGAUCCUGUCUGAUCUCAGAAGCUAAGCAGGUUGGGCCUGGUUAGUACUUGGAUGGAGACCACAUACGAAGACCAGGAGCUGUAAGCA
rnacentral:rRNA from 1 species